CCUGGGAGCAAAGCUGAAGCUCCCGGAGGAGCCACGUGCGUUUGCCAAAGUGGAGAACUAAACCAAACAGCAAGCACCCAGAAUUAGGUAUCUCCAAUCCUGGAAAAUGGGCACGCCAUGGUGACAACUUCCAGGCCCAAGGAAAUCUUCUUUGGCCUGAGUGAUCAGAAGGCCCCACUGGAUGCUGCUGACCAUGGGUGACUGACAGCCAAACAACCCAGUUAGGGCCCCACAUUGUAAGGACACUUUUAGCUUUCAGCGCUGGGCCGGUGGCUAGGGAGAAAACGUUACUGCCAAUGCUUACCUUGCUCCCUAACUCAGACUACUGUUGGAGAAUCAGGGAUUAUCCCUGCUCCCAAGAGGAGUUUUGAAAUUUCAAUUGUCCACCCGCCAAAAUACCACACCUCUUCCUGUCUCUAAAACAAACAAUAUGACAGUUUUUCUUUGAAAUACCACUUAAGGCUUCAUUUUGACCAUUUCACCUCCAAGAGUCAAAAAGGGAGAGCUCAUUCUUUGGUUAGCUAGAAGAGUUAAGAUCAAUCAAUUCAAUAGCAACAUCUGGCCCACCCUGUUGCGAUCUUACCACUAUCAUAUUUUUAAAAGGUUUGGGUCAAGCUGAGGAGAGCUCUGGAAAGUUUAAUCCCAUCCCUAGCAGCCUUAGGGAUGAAUCAGAUCUGUCUGAAUAAACCAGUGGUUCUCAA